CGGUAAUACGUAGGGCGCGAGCGUUGUCCGGAAUUAUUGGGCGUAAAGAGCUUGUAGGCGGUUUGUCGCGUCUGCUGUGAAAGGCCGGGGCUUAACCCCGUGUAUUGCAGUGGGUACGGGCAGACUAGAGUGCAGUAGGGGAGACUGGAAUUCCUGGUGUAGCGGUGGAAUGCGCAGAUAUCAGGAGGAACACCGAUGGCGAAGGCAGGUCUCUGGGCUGUAACUGACGCUGAGAAGCGAAAGCAUGGGGAGCGAACAGGAUUAGAUACCCUGGUAGUCCAUGCCGUAAACGUUGGGCACUAGGUGUGGGGGACAUUCCACGUUUUCCGCGCCGUAGCUAACGCAUUAAGUGCCCCGCCUGGGGAGUACGGCCGCAAGGCUAAAACUCAAAGAAAUUGACGGGGGCCCGCACAAGCGGCGGAGCAUGCGGAUUAAUUCGAUGCAACGCGAAGAACCUUACCAAGGCUUGACAU
rnacentral:rRNA from 1 species